rnacentral:tRNA from 1 species
GCCUCCGUAGCUCAGUGGAUAGAGCGCUGGCUUCCGGUGCCAUAGGUCGGGGGUUCGAAUCCCUCCGGGGGCA